AUUGAACGCUGGCGGCAGGCCUAACACAUGCAAGUCGUGCGGAGCGGCGGACGGGUGAGUAAUGCCCAGGUAUCUGCCUGGUAGUGGGGGUUAACGUUCUGACAUGGGCGCUAAUACCGCAUCCUAUCAGAUGAGCCUAGGUCGGAUUAGCUAGUUGGUGGGGUAAAGGCCUACCAAGGCGACGAUCCGUAACUGGUCUGAGUGGAUGAUCAGUCACGCAGGAACUGAGACACGGUCCAGAGUCCGACGGGAGGCAGCAGUGUGGAAUAUUGGACAAUGGGCGAAAGCCUGAUCCAGCCAUGCCGCGUGUGUGAAGAAGGUAUUCGGAUUGUAAAGCACUUUAAGUUGGGAGGCGUUACCAACAGAAUAAGCACCGGCUAACUUCGUGCCAGCAGCCGCGGUAAUAC
rnacentral:rRNA from 1 species